UUGUAUUUAGCUGUGUGGAGUAGGUCGGCUCUCGACGCCCGGUUGCUUGGACGUCCACCAUGAGGAGAAGUGAGGUGCUGGCAGAGGAGUCUAUACUAUGUGUCCAGAAAGCCCUAAAUCACCUUCAAGAAAUAUGGGAAUUAAUUGGGAUUCCAGAGGACCAGCGAUUACAAAGAGCUGAGGUUGUAAAGAAGCAUAUCAAGGAACUCCUGGACAUGAUGAUCGCCGAGGAGAAAGCCUGAAGGAAAGGCUCAUCAAAAGCAUAUCUUUCUGUCCGAAAGAGCUGAACACUCUGUGCAGUGAGUUACACAGACAGCCAUUUCAGGAAAAAGGAAAGACAACCAUUUUGUAACUAUUGGGAGAGAAAACAAGAACCGAAACUACUUCGAGAACAAAAUCAAGAGCUGCGUGAAAUUCUUUGCAUGCCUCCUUAUAAUACUGACAGUGCCUCUGCCCCCAGCUUAGAAGAGCUGAAUCAGUUCAGACAACCUGUGGCCAUGCGGAGGGAAUCAAAGGCAUCUCGGCACCAGGAAUUUGUCAGUAUAAAGAAACAGAUCAGACUGUGUAUGGAAGAAUAAAUCACACACCAGACACAAGCUUUGAAAGAGACGUGGUGUGUGAAGAUGAAGAUGCCUUCUGUUUGUCUUUGGAGAAUACUGCAACACUCUAAAAGUUGCUUCGGCAGCUGGAAACGCAAAAGUCACAAAAGGAGGCAGUGUGUGAAGGGCUCCGUGCUACAAUCCGAGAGCUCUGGGACAGGUUGCAGAUACCUGAAGAAGAGAGAGAGGCUGUGGCCAUGGUUAUGACUGGGUCAAAGGCCAAGGUCAGAAAAGCGCUGCAAUUAGAGGUGGAUCAGUUGGAAGAACUGAAAAUACAAAACGUGAAGAAAGUGAUGGAGGCAAUAUGGCUGGAGCUGGCUGAGUCCUGGGACCCGUGUUUUUACAGCCAGGAGCAGAGACAGGAUUUUGCCCCUUCCUACACUGGCCUGUAUUUUACAGAGGACUUCACAGGAGAUCUGCUCCAGAUCCAUGAUGCCGAGGUUGUGAAGUCAAAAGAUUAUUAUGAGACGCCUAAGGAGCUCUUUGAAGGUGUUCAGAAGUGGGAAGAAACCCGGAAGCUUUUCUUAGAGUUUGAGAGAAAAGCUUCAGAUCCAAGUCGAUUUACAAACCGGGGAGGAAAUCUUCUAAAAGAAGAAAAGCACCAAGCAGAACUUCAGAAAACACUACCUCAGCUGGAAGAGGAGUUGAAGGCACAAAUUGAAAGGUGGGAAUGGGAACACUUAAAGGCAUUUGUGGUGAAUGGGCAAAAAUUCAUGGAGUACGUGACGGAGCAAAGGGGGAUGCAUCGAUUACAGAAAGAGCCACGCAGGAAAGACAACUCAACAACAAGAAGCAGACAGAGACGGAGAUGCUCUAUGGGAGUGCCGCCCAACACCCAGCAAGCGGGGAGGACUGACACCCAACACGCCAGGCAAAGUGCGCAAGCUGAAUACCAACACUAUCUGCAAUGCUACAGCCAAUAGCAGCAUUCGGCCUGUCUUUGGGGGGACAAUCUGCCGCUCCCCUGUGUCUCGACUUCCUCCUUCUGGCAGCAAGCCAGUUGCCCCUUCCACCUGUUCAAGGAAGAAAACACCCUGUGCCGGGAGGCCUAGGCCUGACAAGGAGAACCUGGAGCUCAAUGGCACUAUCCUGAGCAGUGGGUACCCUGACUCGACUCCCCUCCAGCGCAACUUCAGCAUUAUUUCUGUUGUCAGCACCUAUUCUGAGUUUGCGCGAAAACUUUCAAAGGCUUCCACAUCUGACGCUGCUUCUUGA